CUGGGGCGAGGAGAAGACUAAAGUGCUGGACUUCUCAGCUACCAGCGUAAGAGUUAGGAUCUUGAGGGCAAACACAAAUCAACAACCCUCAGAUCCUAAAAACGAAGAACCCGAGCUGAAGCAGGAGAGUGCUGUACCGGGCGAUAUCCAUACGGAGGGGACGGAGAGUAUGGAUGUCGUCGACGGAAGUGAACUCUCCGGGUAGCAGCUAGGGGACAGCGACACUAUACACCAAACAACACAAUGAACACACAAAGAACACUACACAAACACCAACACACAAAAACACACAUAAACAUAUGCCAAGUAAACCUCCAACACUGCAAGGAUGCAAUGUCCGAGCUAGGACAAUUCGUUAGGAGGGCUGAAGUUGAUAUAGCACUGCUGCAAGAACCUUAUGCAUGGAAGAAUCAGGUGGCAGGCCUGGGACAUCUGGGGGGUGCUCUCCACUACGAAGGGAAUGAGACCUCGUGGUGGUGGAGACACACUUCACGACGAAAGAAGGGAGAAGAUACAAGGUGGCGCUGGCGUCCUGUUACAUGCCGGGCGACGGAGUGGCACCGACAAAAGAACUAGAAGAAACGGUACUUAGGUACACAGGAAAACAAGAAGAUUUGAGGAGAAUGGUGAGGGAAUGCCGCCGGGACAGUAACCUGCAGCUCCGACUCCAGGGAAUCGGGCUGAAUGAACGCGACACGCGAUCGACAGCCCGCCUGCUUCCGGCCAGGCGUCCCUACACUACAUCUACAUCUACA